AUGGCUUCGGCAGUCUGCACAAAUGGUUCCCUGCAAGCUCUGCAAACGGGUCCCUCUUCUCUCUCGGGCUCCCACGAGGCCACAAGUCCAUAACGCCUGCACGGAGCGGAGCCGGAGCCGGCGACGACGACGAACGGCGGCGCCUCGGUUUCUCCGCGGAGCAUUCGGCCGCAGCCGCUGCAACGGUUAGUCUGGUCUCCGUACCUCCCCCCUCACUCCGGUUGGCUACUCCAACUGGCACCCAUGCGUGUUCGUGCUCUUCGUAUACUGAAUUUCUUCGCCCAUUCCGCGGUGUGUCGUACUACCGUGCUAGCGGCUAGAGCCUGUCUCUCGUCUCCAUUUUCCAAUUGCGGAUUGGUUCCCCAUUGGCCAUUGGAUCAGUGAAGUUAGGCCAAACCGACCCCCCCCCCCCAGCAAUAACCUAAGCGGGCAGUGUGAGAAUUUGUUUUUCUUAAAAGAAUAGCUCACUGUGUACUCCUUGCUACCUGUUGUACGGGAUUUACACAGAGCACCGUUGGAGACAGCCUUAGUGCCUUACAUUGAGUUAACACUAGUAUACCAGUCAGUAAUACAUAAAUAGUUCUGCCCUUAGCACUAUUGCAAUUGGCUUCUGAAUUCCAUUCCUAUAUCCAAUUCUUCUUUGGUGUGACUUUCCCAAAUAACAGUGCUCAAGAUGAGCAUGAGCUGUGUCAUAUAUUUCCAGUAUCCACAAAAUAAUUUGGGGGAAAUGGAAAAGGACAAUUUACAAAAGAAUACCUAACAUGGCAAUAUGCCAGAAGCUGUACAAAAAUAAUUACAAGGUUGUCAGGAACAGUAGUUCGUGGGAAGCUACAUGUAUGCAGCUUACAAUGGACUACAAGUGAAUCAUGUUUAACUGCACUAUAUCCUAACUGAAUUUUGCAUCCUCAGGGUGGGCUCUAUAGUGUCAAGGCAGGAGGCUACUUCCAGUAUGGUUGGCCUCAUGCACGCGUCAUGGUCGACACACUUGCAGGCUAUUUCAAGAACCUUCAGCAUUUGCUCGUCAUGCCCCAAGCCUCGUAGAUGUGGAUCGAGGACCUCAAUCUGCUUCCCUUCUGAUUUCAUCUCCUGCACCCACUUCACAAGUUCUUUUGAUAAAAACAAGGCUGAGACAGGCCGCCUUCCUGUGAGCAGCUCAAGCAGAACGACUCCAAAACUGUAGAUAUCACCUCUCAACGUCGCAACCCAGCCUUGCCCAUACUCAGGUGGGAUGUAGCCCAGAGUGCCAACUAGCUCAGUUGUGACAUGAGUUUUGUUUGCAAGGACUAAUCUUGAGAGCCCAAAAUCGGCAACGUAAGCCUUGAAAUCUUUGUCAAGUAGGAUAUUACUGGACUUUAUGUCACGGUGGACAAUGUGAGGCUUGCAGACAUCAUGGAUAUAAGAAAGGCCUUGGCUUGCCCCUUGCGCAAUUUUCAGCCGCAUCGGCCAACUGAGAAAUGUGCUGGCAUCAUCAUCCAUGGUGUGAAGCCAAUCAUCAAGGCUGCCAUUCUCCAUGUAGGAAUAUACGAGGAGCCUUGAAUCUCCCUGUAUGUAGUAACCCCACAGUGGCACAAGAUUCUCAUGCUGGGCCAUGGAGAGUGCUUCAACCUCUGCCUUGAAUUCCCUUUCCAUGGUCAACAUUUCACCAUUAAGCUUCUUGAUGGCCAGCUUGGUCCCAUCAGGUAAUAUAGCCUUGUAGACCAGACCAUAGCCCCCACAACCUAUGAUGUUUCCCUGGUGGAAGUUAUUUGUGGCCUUCACAAUGUCAGCGAAUUUGAGCUUGUUUUCUCCCCCUUCUCCUCUUGGCACUAUCACUAAUGACUGUUCUGAAUCAGACACGUGUGAAGUUGCUUCUACAUCUUCGUUAUCACUGAUCUUGCUUUUCUUUAUCAACCUUUUACACUUGAAUGAGACAGCGAGAUAUACCAGAAGCAGAAGAAGAGCAACUCCAAAGAACGAACCAAAUGCAAUCCCAAAAAUGGCUUUCCUACUGUGUUGCUUUGUUGAGACUGUUGGUGCGACUGCUGAGCUACAACUGUGAUGGAGGAUAGGUCCGCACAGCUUUGGAUUACCUUCAAAGCUAUUAUUCGAGAAUGUACUGAAUUGGCCUCCAGUAGGAAUAGGCCCUUCCAGGUUAUUGUAAGAAAUAUUCAGUGCGGAGAGGAAGUGUAGGUUGUUCAAUGCUGAUGGGAUUGCACCUCUGAGAUGAUUGUUAGACAAGUCUAGUACUUGCAGAUUUGUUAAGUUGCAGAGUUCCAGUGGUAUUUUUCCCGAUAAGUUGUUCGAGCUGAAAUUGAGUACAGCGAGCGACUUCAACUGACCAAUUUCUUGGGGAAUCGCACCAGUUAAGUUAUUGUAACCAAGUUUCAGCAGUUUUGGAAGAGCACUGGUUAUCCGGUACUGGAGCGAUGGGUUUUUAUAAACAGGUAGCUCAAAUACCCUUGGAUCCAAAUGGGUUGCAGUCUUUUCUGUCGUUAGCAUUGGCAUCUCCAUUAAGGCUGUUGGUAUUUCCCCUGUAAGCUUGUUACUUGAUAUGUCUAGAUGGAAUAGUGACUCUAAGCUUUUGAUCCAGGCAGGUAUUGUCCCAC
rnacentral:lncRNA from 1 species